GAUGAACGCUGGCGGCGUGCCUAAUACAUGCAAGUCGAGCGAGCGGACGAGAAGCUUGCUUCUCUGAUGUUAGCGGCGGACGGGUGAGUAACACGUGGAUAACCUACCUAUAAGACUGGGAUAACUUCGGGAAACCGGAGCUAAUACCGGAUAAUAUUCUGAACCGCAUGGUUCAAAAGUGAAAGACGGUCUUGCUGUCACUUAUAGAUGGAUCCGCGCUGCAUUAGCUAGUUGGUAAGGUAACGGCUUACCAAGGCAACGAUGCAUAGCCGACCUGAGAGGGUGAUCGGCCACACUGGAACUGAGACACGGUCCAGACUCCUACGGGAGGCAGCAGUAGGGAAUCUUCCGCAAUGGGCGAAAGCCUGACGGAGCAACGCCGCGUGAGUGAUGAAGGUCUUCGGAUCGUAAAACUCUGUUAUUAGGGAAGAACAUAUGUGUAAGUAACUGUGCACAUCUUGACGGUACCUAAUCAGAAAGCCACGGCUAACUACGUG
rnacentral:rRNA from 1 species